AUUGAACGCUGGCGGCAUGCUUUACACACGCAAGUCGAACGGUAACAGGCCGCAAGGUGCUGACGAGUGGCGAACGGGUGAGUAAUGCAUCGGAACGUGCCCAGUCGUGGGGGAUAACGCAGCGAAAGCUGCGCUAAUACCGCAUACGAUCUAUGGAUGAAAGCGGGGGACCGUAAGGCCUCGCGCGAUUGGAGCGGCCGAUGUCAGAUUAGGUAGUUGGUGGGGUAAAGGCUCACCACGCCAACGAUCUGUAGCUGGUCUGAGAGGACGACCAGCCACACUGGGACUGAGACACGGCCCAGACUCCUACGGGAGGCAGCAGUGGGGAAUUUUGGACAAUGGGCGCAAGCCUGAUCCAGCAAUGCCGCGUGCAGGAAGAAGGCCUUCGGGUUGUAAACUGCUUUUGUACGGAACGAAACGGUCCUGGUUAAUACCUGGGGCUAAUGACGGUACCGUAAGAAUAAGCACCGGCUAACUACGUGCCAGCCGCCGCAGUAAGAC
rnacentral:rRNA from 1 species